rnacentral:rRNA from 1 species
GGGCCCGCACAAGCGGUGGAUUAUGUGGAUUAAUUCGAUGCAACGCGAAAAAACCUUACCUGGCCUUGACAUGUACCGAAUUUAGCAGAGAUGCUUUAGUGCUCGUAAGAGAACGGUAACACAGGUGCUGCAUGGCUGUCGUCAGCUCGUGUCGUGAGAUGUUGGUUAAGUCCCGCAACGAGCGCAACCCUUGCCAUUAAUUGCCAUCAUUUAGUUGGGCACUUUAAUGGGACUGCCGGUGACAAACCGGAGGAAGGUGGGGAUGACGUCAAGUCCUCAUGGCCCUUAUGGCCAGGGCUUCACACGUAAUACAAUGGAUGGUACAGAGAGCAGCCACUACGCGAGUAGGAGCGAA